GGGAGAGGGAGCGAGGGAUUUUUUGGAGUGAAAAGGAAAGUGGGCGAGAGGGAGAAGGAGCGGGAGUUUUCUUGGAAUGAAACGGAAACUCGAAAGUGGGCGUGAGGGAGAAGGAGCGAGAGUUAUCUUGGAAUGAAACGGAAAGUGGGUGAGAGGGAGAAGGAGCGAGGGUUUCUGAGGACAAUAUGGAUUGCUGAGCGGUGCCUUAGAAAUGAAGCUAGGUUCUCCAGGGGUUUUCGUUGGAGGGUAAGUGGUCGGGUCAUGUCGCUGGAUCGGUUGAGCUAGGUUUGUGUUUUUCUGGCGAGCUCGUCCGAAAAUUGACGUCGUGAUUAUGGUGGAGUGAGGGUUAAAGUUUCCAGGGUUGUCGAAAAAUGUUUUACACCCAGUUCAUCUUGGCGAAGAAAGGUCCUCUGAGGACGGAUUGCUGCUCAUUUGGAGGGCUAGCUGAGGAAGAAUCAGGUCGCAGAUACGAACAUCGGCCUCUCUAUAGCUUGUUCCCAGGGAGAUGAAUAUGCUAAGUCCUGCAUAUAAGAACGAAGAGGUUGUGUAGGGUAUCCGCCACUGUUGCUGCUGUGCAAUCUGCACUUUGAAGAUUGAAGCUUCUUGUCCACAGUACAAUUACCUUAGUUCUAGGAGCACAUUCACAGAUUCGUGUAAUGUGUGCACGGCACACACAUCCAUGCCCACACUUAUUCAUAUGACGUAGAAUUUGGUUGAUGUUGUGUGAUUAGCUUUAUCUAUUUUUGGUGGUUUGAUUGUUUACUUCAUGUUCAUUUGCUUUAUUUUGCUUCAAGGGUCUGCAUUGUUAUUCACGUUCCAAUUUUAGCUUCACUCUUUCUUUUCCUACUUAUCGUGAUUUAUAAAAGAUCAUUCAAACAUUUGCACUUGGGAUGGUAUUCAAGUUCUUGUUAUGUUAAGAAAGUUGUGCAUUCACACAAACAGGCAUGCCACUAUCACCAAUGUCGUCAUCAACACAUCCUUGGAGAAGUUAUUCUUGGAAUUCAUUUUCCAGAAAUGGCUUUUUUUGGGAGAAUCAUGUAAAAAAUCUUGCAAAGUAUUAAAAAUAACAAGAUAGAACUGUUUGAAAAAUAUGAGAUAAUACGUCUGUCGGUGCUUUUGCUGCCAAAACCACAAAAGGAUCAUUUAUGUUUUAACUUGUAAAAAGCUAUUGUAAAAAUAAAUUCUCAUAAAUAUCAUGUUUGUAUUAUAGAUCACAAUAUAUAAUAUCUUUCAUGAUAAUUUUUAAUUUGGAAAGAGUCUUUUUAUGAUUUUGAAGAAGCCAAAAAAUGGCAAUACCAUGACAAUAUUUUUCAAAAUAUCAUAUCGUUGUGAUACGCAGAACAUGGAUGAGGUGUUUUCAGAAUCCCAUAUUGAUUAUAUGGUACAUAUACACACAGAAACACAUAAUGGUGCAUAUACACACAUAAUCACACACAUAACAGUGCAUAUUGCAUAUAUCUUCAUGUACUUUACACUUUUUUGUUGUUAACUGCUAAAUUUUUACCUCCAUGUUAUAUGAUGUCAUUAUUCUUUCUGAAUGCAAAUAUGAUGUCAUUAUCCUUCGUGUGGGUCAUUGACAGCUUGCUUUCUUCCUUAUGUAUUUGAGCACUACACAUGCAAACUGCAAAGUAGAACAAGGAUUAUCAUUGUAGUCGUCUUGGUGGCCCAUUAAAAAUAAAAUCCUUCAUUGCUUCCUCUUCAAAUACUUCUAUAUAAUUAAUUAGAUAUCUUAAUUUGGUCACAACCACAUCAUGUUACUAUGGUAUAUUAUUUACCUGCUUCCUGUGAACUCGUGUACUCCUAAGAGAAUUUCAUAUAUUCUUCAUCAAUUAUAUAGUUAGUUGCCAUAAUGUGUAACAUACUUGUACAUUGGUGCCUCAACUGUUAGGUUUCUAGCUUCUGUUCUUCUCAGUUACAUAAACUCCAUCUACUGCGCUAAGUUAAUGUGAAGAAUACGAUAUCUUACAUGGAGCUUCUCAAUAGUAUAUGAAGAUAUAAUAUUAGCACUUCCCAACCCAAGUGAUUUCAUACAGCCAUUAUUGCAGCAAUUAUAUGACACCAUAUCAGAAGUUUCUGAAAUUCAGAUUGGAAUUAUGUUCUCUAGAUUCAUAGCAUGAUUGUGAUGGCAUGUGAAUGCCUACUUGCUUUAACUUUACUGCUAUAUGUCACUUGGUUCAUUUCUAAAGAGAUUACUGCUUCCUUAGUUGUAAGAUGCACACACUUAAAAAAUAAUGGCUUGGUCUGUUUGAGAUGUAUCUUCUUACCUAGGGGUGAACAUGAGCCGAGUCGAGCCCGAGCUUGGUCGGCUCGAACUCGGCUCGCCUUCUAUAUUGCACAACUCGAGCUCGGCUUGAGCUCGAAUCCAGUUAUAUAAUGUAAACUCGAGCUCAGCUCGAUCAAGCGUGUCAGAGCUCGAACUCGAGCUAGUUUAACUCUUUUAAAGCCUGUCGUUUAUAGGUGUGCUGCAGUAUGGCUAUGGCAAAAGAUGGCAGCGAGGGUGCUGCUGCUAUGGAAGAGAUGACAGCAGAGGGUCUGCAAAAAAAGAGGCAUCAGAUGAGAUAUUUGGAUUUUUAAGUUUUGGGUUUUCAAAGAACCCUAGCUCAUGUUCAGCACUGAAUGAAGGCUUCAGAUCCCUUGCUGGAACGAGGGUUUGAUGAACCUGAAAGGCCUCGCUCCAGCACCACCCUUUGCUGAGUGAGGGUUUUUGAUUGAUCUGAAACCCCUUGUUGAGUGAGGGUUUCAGAUUGAUGUGAAACCCCCUCGCUCCAGCACCACCCUUGCUGCAAGGGAGGGUGUUUUGAAACCCUCACUCGUUGGAGCAAGUGUUUUGAAAAAAGAAACCCUUGCUCCAACAAGAGGGUUUUAGAUUCUGAAGCUCCAGCGAGCGAGGGUUUAUCCCUCAAUGGCUGCGACUGAGGGUGUUUGGAAACCCACGCUUGUUGGAUCAAGGGAUUUAAGAAACCCUCGCUCCAGUGAGCGACCCUCAACUUAGAGUUAGAGAGAGGGAGAGAGAGAGCGAGGCAUACCUUGACAGGCUUUGCAGAGAAGGGCAAUGGUGGUGUCGGACAUUUGCAUGAAGCAUUGAAGACGCUUUUCACUUGGAUGAAGCAUUGAAGAAGAAGAAGAAGAAGAAGAAAAAGAAGAAGAAGGAUUUGAUUCAAAAUGAUCCUGCACGAGCUUUGUCAUCUUUCAAGUUACCACUCACAAACUGUUAGGUCAUUUUAAGAUUGUGGUUUGCACAAAUUUCUUAUAUGUUAGAUCAUUUUUAAUGUUUCAUAAUUCAUAAUUGUGAAUGUUAGAUUAUUUUAA